rnacentral:rRNA from 1 species
GACGAACGCUGGCGGCGUGCUUAACACAUGCCAGUCGAACGGAAAGGCCCUGCUUUUGUGGGGUGCUCGAGUGGCGAACGGGUGAGUAACACGUGAGUAACCUGCCCUUGACUUUGGGAUAACUUCAGGAAACUGGGGCUAAUACCGGAUAGGAGCUCCUGCUGCAUGGUGGGGGUUGGAAAGUUUCGGCGGUUGGGGAUGGACUCGCGGCUUAUCAGCUUGUUGGUGGGGUAGUGGCUUACCAAGGCUUUGACGGGUAGCCGGCCUGAGAGGGUGACCGGCCACAUUGGGACUGAGAUACGGCCCAGACUCCUACGGGAGGCAGCAGUGGGGAAUAUUGCACAAUGGGCGGAAGCCUGAUGCAGCAACGCCGCGUGCGUGAUGACGGCCUUCGGGUUGUAAACCGCUUUCGCCUGUGACGAAGCGUGAGUGACGGUAAUGGGUAAAGAAGCACCGGCUAACUACGUG